AAUUAAAAAUUUCAUCCAUUUGUACAAUUAAAAACGAGUGUGACUGGCGGAAUAACUAGACAGUUACACAUGGCGUGCCACUUUUAUCUCAUGUUGACGUACAAUGACCAAUUUUUAAUAACACAAAUAUAUUAAUUUUUUAACA
rfam:Gossypium raimondii Chr12_contig_33, whole genome shotgun sequence.